rnacentral:lncRNA from 1 species
CCUUGAGUAUUUUGUGCAUAUGUUCAAUUUAGUGAAAAAUUUUAAUGUUCACUAAUGUGGAACUUCGUGUUUAGCCACUUAACCAAGUGUAGUUAAUCUUUGUAGUGUUAUGCAAAAGGCUGAAUUUAUGAGCAUUAAGUAAUAUGAGGUGGAGCAUCAAAAAUGUUUUAGUGAUGUUUUACAAAAGACCAGUUCUACUAUUCACAGUCCACGAAAGCUUCCUUUUCCUGAUAUUACCUUUCACCAAUGAC